UACAGAGGUCUCAAGCGUUGUUCGGAUUCAUUGGGCGUAAAGGGUGCGUAGGCGGCGCGGUAAGUCGGGUGUGAAAUCUCGGAGCUUAACUUCGAAACUGCAUUCGAUACUGCCGUGCUUGAGGACUGGAGAGGAGACUGGAAUUUACGGUGUAGCGGUGAAAUGCGUAGAUAUCGUAAGGAAGACCAGUGGCGAAGGCGGGUCUCUGGGCCUUACCUGACGCUGAGGAGCGAAAGCGUGGGGAGCGAACAGG
rnacentral:rRNA from 1 species